rnacentral:rRNA from 1 species
AGCGUAGGCUGCACGGUAAGUCAGAUGUGAAAGCCCGGAGCUCAACCCCGGAACUGCAUCCGAUACUGCCGUGCUUGAGGACUGGAGAGGAGUCUGGAAUUCACAGUGGAGCAGUGAAAUGCGUAGAUAUUGUGAGGAACACUAGUAGCGAAGGCGAGACUCUGGACAGAUCCUGACGCUGAGGCUCGAAGGCCAGGGGAGCAAACG